UACGAAGGAUGCAAGCGUUAUCCGGAUUCAUUGGGUUUAAAGGGUGCGUAGGCGGGCUAUUAAGUCAGUGGUGAAAUCCUGCAGCUUAACUGCAGAACUGCCGUUGAUACUGAUAGUCUUGAGUUUGGUUAAGGUAGGCGGAAUGUGUAAUGUAGCGGUGAAAUGCUUAGAUAUUACACAGAACACCAAUUGCGUAGGCAGCUUACUGAGCCGACACUGACGCUGAUGCACGAAAGCGUGUGGAUCAAACA
rnacentral:rRNA from 1 species